UGCAAGUUGAGCGCUGAAGGUUGGUACUUGUACCGACUGGAUGAGCAGCGAACGGGUGAGUAACGCGUGGGGAAUCUGCCUUUGAGCGGGGGACAACAUUUGGAAACGAAUGCUAAUACCGCAUAAAAACUUUAAACACAAGUUUUAAGUUUGAAAGAUGCAAUUGCAUCACUCAAAGAUGAUCCCGCGUUGUAUUAGCUAGUUGGUGAGGUAAAGGCUCACCAAGGCGAUGAUACAUAGCCGACCUGAGAGGGUGAUCGGCCACAUUGGGACUGAGACACGGCCCAAACUCCUACGGGAGGCAGCAGUAGGGAAUCUUCGGCAAUGGACGAAAGUCUGACCGAGCAACGCCGCGUGAGUGAAGAAGGUUUUCGGAUCGUAAAACUCUGUUGGUAGAGAAGAACGUUGGUGAGAGUGGAAAGCUCAUCAAGUGACGGUAACUACCCAGAAAGGGACGGCUAACUACGUGCCAGCAGCCGCGGUAAUACGUAGGUCCCGAGCGUUGUCCGGAUUUAUUGGGCGUAAAGCGAGCGCAGGUGGUUUAUUAAGUCUGGUGUAAAAGGCAGUGGCUCAACCAUUGUAUGCAUUGGAAACUGGUAGACUUGAGUGCAGGAGAGGAGAGUGGAAUUCCAUGUGUAGCGGUGAAAUGCGUAGAUAUAUGGAGGAACACCGGUGGCGAAAGCGGCUCUCUGGCCUGUAACUGACACUGAGGCUCGAAAGCGUGGGGAGCAAACAGGAUUAGAUACCCUGGUAGUCCACGCCGUAAACGAUGAGUGCUAGAUGUAGGGAGCUAUAAGUUCUCUGUAUCGCAGCUAACGCAAUAAGCACUCCGCCUGGGGAGUACGACCGCAAGGUUGAAACUCAAAGGAAUUGACGGGGGCCCGCACAAGCGG
rnacentral:rRNA from 1 species